CGUUACUGUACAGUACUUCUACUAAGGGCCCGGUCACACAUGCACUGGGGUUCGCUUUGGCGUCGAGAUUCGGGGGCAGCGAGCCUGGUGUCGCUCCAGCGAAAUCACGAGUGUAUGGUCACACAUACAAACAGGGCAAACUCCUACUUUGGCGGAAAAUAAGAGUAAAGUCUGUCCCUGCAUUAGCUAUGCUUGUCACAUGCUAUGAGAUUGUGUCUAAUAACAGUCCUUCCCCAGACGCGCAAAAAAAAGACCUCUCCCACUAAUCCCGAUAUAACAGAUUCUUGACUGAUUUUUGCCGCGAAAGCGAAAAAAUGUUCUCAAAUUUGAGAACUGUCCUAAAUUGGUUCUGAGAGAUGGAAGCCGUUUUACAUGGCCUACGUCAUUUUACUUUGCACCACCUCGUUUUAUUUCACACCAUGUAUUCUUGACGGGACGCUCUUUCGGCAGAUAUAUUUUUAGUGACGUUUCGUAGAGGAGACGUAUAUCGAAAAUGUUGUGAACGAAGCUGAAAUUGGCAUUUUUAUGCACCUAAUUUCAAGCCGGAUUAUCGCCAGAGCACACAGCGUUUUCGGCCAGCACGAAGGCGGCAACAUAUAGAGGGUUGCUGCACUGUAUAUGUAAUCAUUGAUGACUGGCUGUUGGCAGAUUAUUUGAUGCGUGCACGUGUUUGGAUCCGUCUCUUCCUCAUGUUAACGUCUCAAUCAAGCAUCGUCAUCAAAACUUUGCACAGAAGAGUGUUUGUCAGCGGUGUCAGUCAUCCUCUGGGAUCCUCUUUCUGUUAUUACUGAAGCUCAAUUCCCAAUACAUGAACUACUUUCCACGAUGCGCAACAUGCAACACCUGCGAUGAGCUGCAGCCGCGACAGACGAUUCACAAUCUGUUUUGUUUCUGCGACAUCUAAGUGCAGUGCGUAGUACCCUCACGUGCACCCAGCCUAGUGAACUGCACUCCAUUCGUGUACAGCGCGCUUGGCAAGAGUUAUGCUUUUGCCAACUUCUGGGACAGUGGCCCUACAACUGCUUGCGACAGUGCGCGACAGGCAUUUCCUCGCCGCAAGGGUUACAUCGCAGAAAGUGAUACUGUACAUGUAAUUGUGAAUUGUAAAUACUUUUAAUCCAAUUCAACUUUUAGUAUGUGCUUCUCUUUGUUGAACAGCUAAUGGGUAACCAACUCUUCUCCUAUCCAUUCAUUCUCCUGC